GUCAAGUCAUCAUGGCCCUUAUGUCCAGGGCUACACACGUGCUACAAUGGACGGUACAGCGCGGAGCGAAGCCGCGAGGUAUAAGCGAAUCGCUAAAAGCCGUCCGUAGUUCGGAUUGAGGUCUGAAACCCGACUUCAUGAAGUUGGAAUCGCUAGUAAUCGCGCAUCAGCAUGGCGCGGUGAAUACGUUCCCGGGCCUU
rnacentral:rRNA from 1 species